AGGGGAAUUGUUUUUGUUCAGCUCUGUUACCUUCGUGAAUGGUCAAACAGUUCAUCUAGUUACUGGAAGAUUGAUCUACACAAUUUUGUUCCUGAUCUACCAAGAAUUGAGGCCUCCACUGCGCAAUAGGGGCGGGAAAAUUUUUUUUGUCAAACUGUUCUUAACACCUUUAAACUUCUUUACUCAACCGAUUGUAUUUCCGAAAUUUUAACGCAUAAAUUAUUAGCCACAGGUUCACCAGAAACCGCUACUCCACAACAGAUAAGUGUCACAACAGCCGCGAGAGCUACAAAUACAGGGUCUCCAGUUACGACGAAAGAGCCCAACGUUUCAGUGCCAAGAAAAUCAUCAGAAGAAUCCUCCUUUAAAUGGGUGGUGGCAAGCGGAAUCAUCUCAUGUGUUGUGAUAAUACUCAUUGUGGGCCUUUGCCACCAUCAGAAAAAAUGCACUAAAAAUGGAGCAAAUAAUAAUAGCUUCAUUGAAAGCAACGAAAAGGAAUUUUGCAAGUGUAUUUUGUAAAUAUAACAUACUCAAGGUAGUAGAUUUACCAAUUCGUAAUAUCCGGUCAGUCUUACAAUAUAUAGUUAGUUGUGUUUUAGGGUGAAGUUAAUCAUUGAUAUACAUUAAUUCAAGGAUUUAAACAUUGCAUAGAAAUUUAAAUCGACACUAAAUGUAUUUCUACUAAAUGCGACCUUCCCUUUUUUUUGUUUGCGUCGUCAUUUCGACUUAUUAAAUUACAAUCUUAAAGAACAGCUCGAAGUUUUCUGUUUAAGGGUGGUUUCUAUAAAUUUGACCUUUCCUUGAAAGAUUCUGUGACUCUAAAAUGUCAAAUAUUGUCCUUUGCUUUUAAUUUACUUAUCAAUUAUAGCUGAUUUUCGACGUAGCUGUAAAUGAUGUGGCAAUGAAUAAAUAAACUGAUUCCUUGAAUCCUCA